AGGGAGGAUCACUACCGAAUGGCACGCAGCCCUAGUCACGUGGGUCGUGUCGCUCCAGCGCUAUAAAAGCGGACGCUCUCUGCUGCUCGCUCUCUUUCUCGCCGCAGCACGUGCGUGUUUGUGCUGCCUCAGACAUACAGGAGAGAGCCGCUCAAAUAAAGCACGUUCAUGAUGAAUUACACGCGAGAAUCCCAUCGCAGCGCUUACAAACCACCAUGAUAAACGCUGGAGUCAAUGUGACUUGGUCAUGAUUCUCUACUGGCUGAUUUACUGUGUGAUAAUUAGGCGCAGUUCAUGAAAAUGGUGAACGUCUAUCUAAAUGCUGAUUCAGCACUGAUCAGAUGGAGCUGAAACCACCAGGAAGUGUCCUGAUUCACUUGGAUAAAGCGCUAUGCGCUCCACGGUGACUGUGAAUGCUGGAGGUUGACGUCAUGCAUGAAACUUCUCUUUACAAUG